rnacentral:rRNA from 1 species
UACGUAGGGUGCGAGCGUUGUCCGGAAUUAUUGGGCGUAAGGGGCUCGUAGGCGGUUUGUCGCGUCGGGAGUGAAAUCCACUGGCUUAACUGGUGGCUUGCUUUCGAUACGGGCAGACUGGAGGUAUGCAGGGGAGAACGGAAUUCCUGGUGUAGCGGUGAAAUGCGCAGAUAUCAGGAGGAACACCGGUGGCGAAGGCGGGUCUCUGGGCAACAACUGACGCUGAGGAGCGAAAGCGUGGGGAGCGAACAGG